UCCUAAUAAUGGGCAUCUCUUGGGUGAAUCUCGAAAAAUGUCAGCGUUUUUCUUCAGAGUGUCUGUGCCGUACAUUAAUGGCACAGCCUGGAGAUUCAAAAUAUCGAAUGCAUACUCCUAAGCCCUGAUUUAUUAUUCUUAUAGAUGGACAGGACGUGCAGCACACUCACCUUUCUCGCUCUUGUCGCAUCGGUGAAGGAGUCUCAGACUCUGAGGUUUUCUCCAUUGCACAGAGCACCUCUUCCUCUUCUCUCUGUCCGCAUUGCCUUAGGCCCUUAUACAACCAAAAGAGGUUAAUAUUGGAAUUCGGCCGGUGGCAGUUGUGCUGUGGUCUCCAAAUACCCUGGUGACUGAGCCCAGGUCUUGAAUCACAAAUUACUGGGAAACACUAGUUGAACGCUACACCCUCUUAUCAUUCAAUCAUGGUCAAUCAUGUGCUGCUGAAGUUGUUACCUGAAAAUUCAAAGAGAGUAGCCAUGGCCAAAAGAGUAGAGGAGACAUUAGAUGAAAAUGCAAAGAGCGUAAUGGCAGAGAGGAAGAGAUUGGCUGAGGUUCCUUCCCUUGAAAUCCCUAUUCUUGAAGAACUGUCGUGGCACAAAAAGAAGAGGUCAGUAUUGAAAGGAGCAAAUAAGAUGUUGGAUGAGGUUCCUACCCCCGAAUUUCUCAUUCAUGAAGGUCUUUCAUACCCAAAAAGGAAGAAAUCGGUAUCCAAAGGUGGAAGGAAGAGAGAGUUUCUUAUUUGUGAACAGGAGAUCACAUGAAGUUUCAGGGACCGAGCAAGACCUUCAUAUAUGUGAUGAUAUUAUGGAACGAAUUUUAUUGGGACUCCCUGUAAAAGCCCUUGGCAGGUUCAGAUGUGUUUCUAAGCGACGGAAUGAAGUCCUCUCCUCUCUCUCUCCUUUGCAUGAACCCAUUAUCUCGCACCUCCCUCAGCAUCCACUCCCUUUGCUCUUGUUGUUGCCAAACCAAAUUCUACACCCUGUCUAUGCUAUACCCUCUCUCUCUCUCUUACCUUCUAAACUCAACCGAAACCCUCCCAUCAUUUGAGUUCCAGUCGUCCAGUCUGGCGUGCAGCAAUGGUAUGCUAUGUGAUUACAAGUUCCCCUUUGGCUUUGACAUUUUUAACCCUAUCACCCUUGAUUCUAUGGGCAUGGAGAAGACUUUCGAGUUCAAGAGCAAUUUCAUCUUUGGAUUCUAUUACAACCCUGUGAGCACCGCUUUUUAUAUAUUGAAAUACACUCUUUUGGUCCCUAUACUUAUCAAACAUUGGAAUGUGGACCCUAUACACAUCAAACACUGGAAAGUUCCUGGCCGCCCUCAACACCCUCUCACUCCCUUCUACAGCAUUCUCACGUGCGUGCUCGGAAAAUUCUACAAUGUGUUCUGUGCGGAAGAAUAUGGAGGGUAGAGCAUCGAGGUUUUCGACACAGCAAGAGAGGAGUGGGAGGAAAGCCUUCCAUUGCCCACAGGAAUCCCACGCCCGGAUAACUCCGAUUUUGGGUUUAGAUUCCUUGAAUGGGAGGGGCAGAUAUGUUUUGUUCAUGGCUGGUUUCAUGAGGGAGAUAGAAAAGAAUGCGGAAUGGGAAUAUGGGCUUUGACGUGAAAGGAGAAAAGAUGGGAGAACGUGAGAGAAAUGGGCCUUGGGAAAAAGUUGAAAAGUUUUUACAAGGUUUUGUGGAUCUCAAAACGCCGAUGAUAAUUCACGGCGAGUUUCUCUUUAUUUGCCAGCAAGGGACCAUCUUUUCAUUCGAAUUGCAGAGCGGACAGAAAAGUGAAUUGACGUUGAACACCAAAAAGUAUGGGUAUUCACACAGGCUGCUUCUUUACAAACCCUCACUCCUUAACGUCAACACACCGCCUCUAAUGUGCUAGCAACAUUUCUUCUCCCUUCCCUCCGAGGGAUCCAUCUCUAAUUGACAAAUUUAUUGUUAGCCGUCUGUGCUUUGUUUCUUCUAAUUUUAUAUUUAUUCUAGAGGGAUCCAUAUAAAGUUAUUGGUAUGGGUUUUGCUUUCUGUUUUCUCAUUUUCUUUUAUUUGUUUGUCCUUUAGAGGGGUCUGAUUCCAGUUGAUUUUUUGAUGAAGCUGUUUGUAUGGUUAUGUAUUUCCUUAUUAUUUUC